AACGAACGCUGGCGGCAUGCCUAACACAUGCAAGUCGAACGAGACCUUCGGGUCUAGUGGCGCACGGGUGCGUAACGCGUGGGAACCUGCCUUUAGGUUCGGAAUAACUCAGAGAAAUUUGAGCUAAUACCGGAUGAUGUCUUCGGACCAAAGAUUUAUCGCCUUUAGAUGGGCCCGCGUUGGAUUAGCUAGUUGGUGGGGUGAAGGCCUACCAAGGCGACGAUCAAUAGCUGGUCUGAGAGGAUGAUCAGCCACACUGGGACUGAGACACGGCCCAGACUCCUACGGGAGGCAGCAGUGGGGAAUAUUGGACAAUGGGCGAAAGCCUGAUCCAGCAAUGCCGCGUGAGUGAUGAAGGCCUGAGGGUUGUAAAGCUCUUUUACCCGAGAUGAUAAUGACAGUAUCGGGAGAAUAAGCUCCGGCUAACUCCGUG
rnacentral:rRNA from 1 species